rnacentral:rRNA from 1 species
UACGUAGGGUGCAAGCGUUAAUCGGAAUUACUGGGCGUAAAGCGUGCGCAGGCGGUUUUGUAAGUCUGUCGUGAAAGCCCCGGGCUCAACCUGGGAAUUGCGAUGGAGACUGCAAGGCUUGAAUCUGGCAGAGGGGGGUAGAAUUCCACGUGUAGCAGUGAAAUGCGUCGAGAUGUGGAGAAACACCGAUGGCGAAGGCAGCCCCCUGGGUCAAGAUUGACGCUCAUGCACGAAAGCGUGGGGAGCAAACAGG